AGAGUUUGAUCAUGGCUCAGAGUGAACGCUGGCGGCGUGCUUAACACAUGCAAGUCGAACGAGAACGGAUUAUAGCUUGCUAUAAUUGUCAGCUAAGUGGCGCACGGGUGAGUAAUGUAUAGGUAAUAUGCCUCUUACUAAGGGAUAACAAAUGGAAACGUUUGCUAAUACCUUAUACUCCUUAUUAACAGAAGUUAAUAAGGGAAAGAUUUAUUGGUAAGAGAUUAGCCUGUAUUGUAUCAGUUAGUUGGUGGGGUAAUGGCUUACCAAGACUAUGACACAUAACUGGUUUGAGAGGAUGAUCAGUCACACUGGAACUGAGACACGGUCCAGACUCCUACGGGAGGCAGCAGUGGGGAAUAUUGCACAAUGGACGAAAGUCUGAUGCAGCAACGCCGCGUGGAGGAUGACACAUUUCGGUGCGUAAACUCCUUUUAUAUGAGAAGAUAAUGACGGUAUUAUAUGAAUAAGCACCGGCUAACUCCGUGCCAGCAGCCGCGGUAAU
rnacentral:rRNA from 1 species